GAUCCUGGCUCAGGACGAACGCUGGCGGCGUGCCUAACACAUGCAAGUCGAACGGGACUUGCCCCUUCGGGGACAAGUUUAGUGGCGGACGGGUGAGUAACGCGUGAGCAACCUACCUUUCAGUGGGGGACAACAGUUGGAAACGACUGCUAAUACCGCAUAACACUUAUUUAGGGCAUCUUAGAUAAGUCAAAGAUUUAUUGCUGGAAGAUGGGCUCGCGUCUGAUUAGCUAGUUGGUGGGGUAACGGCCCACCAAGGCGACGAUCAGUAGCCGGACUGAGAGGUUGACCGGCCACAUUGGGACUGAGAUACGGCCCAGACUCCUACGGGAGGCAGCAGUGGGGAAUAUUGGGCAAUGGGCGCAAGCCUGACCCAGCAACGCCGCGUGAAGGAAGAAGGCUUUCGGGUUGUAAACUUCUUUUAAGUGGGAAGAGUAGAAGACGGUACCACUUGAAUAAGCCACGGCUAACUACGUGCCAGCAGCCGCGGUAAUACGUAGGUGGCAAGCGUUGUCCGGAUUUACUGGGUGUAAAGGGCGUGCAGCCGGGCAUGCAAGUCAGAUGUGAAAUCUCAGGGCUUAACCCUGAAACUGCAUUUGAAACUGUAUGUCUUGAGUGCCGGAGAGGUAAUCGGAAUUCCUUGUGUAGCGGUGAAAUGCGUAGAUAUAAGGAAGAACACCAGUGGCGAAGGCGGAUUACUGGACGGUAACUGACGGUGAGGCGCGAAAGCGUGGGGAGCGAACAGGAUUAGAUACCCUGGUAGUCCACGCUGUAAACGAUGGAUACUAGGUGUGCGGGGACUGACCCCCUGCGUGCCGCAGUUAACACAAUAAGUAUUCCACCUGGGGAGUAC
rnacentral:rRNA from 1 species